rnacentral:rRNA from 1 species
GAAUCGCAUGGCCUUGCGCCGGCGACGGUUCAUUCAAGUUUCUGCCCUAUCAACUUUCGAUGGUAAGGUAUUGGCUUACCAUGGUUUCAACGGGUAACGGGGAAUUAGGGUUCGAUUCCGGAGAGGGAGCCUGAGAAACGGCUACCACAUCCAAGGAAGGCAGCAGGCGCGCAAAUUACCCAAUCCCGACACGGGGAGGUAGUGACAAUAAAUACUGAUACAGGGCUCUUUUGGGCCUUGUAAUCGGAAUGAGUACAAUUUAAACCCCUUAACGAGGAACGAUUGGAGGGCAAGUCUGGUGCCAGCAGCCGCGGUAAUUCCAGCUCCAAUAGCGUAUAUUAAAGUUGUUGCAGUUAAAAAGCUCGUAGUUGAACCUUGGGCCUGGCUGGCCGGUCCGCCUCACCGCGUGUACUGGUCCGGCCGGGCCUUUCCUUCUGGAGAGCCCCAUGCCCUUCACUGGGUGUGCGGGGGAACCAGGACUUUUACUUUGAAAAAAUUAGAGUGUUCAAAGCAGGCCUUUGCUCGAAUACGUUAGCAUGGAAUAAUAGAAUAGGACGUGCGAUCCUAUUUUGUUGGUUUCCAGGACCGCCGUAAUGAUUAAUAGGGACAGUCGGGGGCAUCAGUAUUCAAUUGUCAGAGGUGAAAUUCUUGGAUUUAUUGAAGACUAACUACUGCGAAAGCAUUUGCCAAGGAUGUUUUCAUUAAUCAGUGAACGAAAGUUAGGGGAUCGAAGACGAUCAGAUACCGUCGUAGUCUUAACCGUAAACUAUGCCGACUAGGGAUCGGGCAAUGUUUUUAUCUUGACUCGCUCGGCACCUUACGAGAAAUCAAAGUUUUUGGGUUCUGGGGGGAGUAUGGUUGCAAGGCUGAAACUUAAAGAAGUCGACGGAAGGGCACCACCAGGCGU